UGGGGAAUAUUGCACAAUGGGGGAAACCCUGAUGCAGCGACGCCGCGUGAGCGAAGAAGGUUUUCGAAUCGUAAAGCUCUGUCCUAUGGGAAGAUAAUGACGGUACCAUAGGAGGAAGCCCCGGCUAACUACGUGCCAGCAGCCGCGGUAAUACGUAGGGGGCAAGCGUUGUCCGGAAUCACUGGGCGUAAAGGGUUCGCAGGCGGAAAUGCAAGUCAGUUGUGAAAGGCCGAGGCUCAACCUCUGUAAGCAAUUGAAACUGUAUUUCUUGAGAUGUGGAGAGGCAAGUGGAAUUCCUAGUGUAGCGGUGAAAUGCGUAGAUAUUAGGAAGAAUACCGGUGGCGAAGGCGACUUGCUGGACACAAACUGACGCUGAGGAACGAAAGCGUGGGUAGCAAACAGG
rnacentral:rRNA from 1 species